GUAACGGGGUGUUAGGGCACGACACCGGAGAGGGAGCCUGAGAAACGGCUACCACAUCCAAGGAUGGCAGCAGGCGCGCAAAUUACCCAAUCCCGACACGGGGAGGUAGUGACAAUAAAUAACAAUACGGGGUCCUUUAGGGUUUCGUAAUUGGAAUGAGUACAAUUUAAAUCUCUUAACGAGGAACAAUUGGAGGGCAAGUCUGGUGCCAGCAGCCGCGGUAAUUCCAGCUCCAAUAGCGUAUAUUAAAGUUGUUGCAGUUAAAAAGCUCGUAGUUGAAUUUCGGGAUCAGUACGCUGGUCAUGCCUUCGGUAUGUACUGGUGUUACUGGUUCCUACCUUCUGACGAACCGUCAUGUCAUUAAUUUGGUGUGGCGGGGAAUCAGGACUGUUACUUUGGAAAAAUUAGAGUGUUUAAAGCAGGCUCGCACUUGAGUACAUUAGCAUGGAAUAAUGAAAUAGGACGUUCGAUCCUAUUUUGUUGGUUUCUAGGAUUGACGUAAUGAUUAAUAGGGAUAGUUGGGGGCAUUAGUAUUCAAUUGUCAGAGGUGAAAUUCUUGGAUUUAUUGAAGACUAACUACUGCGAAAGCAUUUGCCAAGGAUGUUUUCAUUAAUCAAGAACGAAAGUUAGGGGAUCGAAGACGAUCAGAUACC
rnacentral:rRNA from 1 species